rnacentral:rRNA from 1 species
GAGAGCUAGCAAAUCCCAUAAACCGUGGCUCAGUUCAGAUCGUAGGCUGCAACUCGCCUACGUGAAGUAGGAAUCGCUAGUAAUCGCAGGUCAGCAUACUGCGGUGAAUACGUUCCCGGGCCUUGUACACACCGCCCGUCACACCAUGGAAGUUGGCCAUGCCCGAAGUCGUUACUCCAACCCUUGUGGAGGAGGACGCCGAAGGUGGGGCUAAUGACUGGGGUGAAGUCGUAACAAGGUAGCCGUACCGGAAGGUGCGGCUGGACCACCUCCUAA